GAUUUAAAUUACUUAGUACAACACAUAUGCUUGCAACCGCCCCGCCAAAUUUAUUCUUCAAACCUUUCACUCCUUUUUCAUUUUUUGAAUAGCACAGUUGCAACGUGCACAUAUCGCUACAUGCAGAGAACCCCUAUUGCUUCCCCUCCCAAUUCCUACGAGAGUUUUUCUGGGGUGGCACUUAUCCCUCCGCCGCUGAAUGUUUUGGCCCUUUUCGUAUGGCGUGCAAUUUUUUAAAAAGCACGUGGACCAUCGACGAAACCCUUCCAUGGCCCCGGAGCUACUCAACUUCGUCGUUCGUCGAACAUCACUCAAUCAUCAUUGUUGUGACUGUCCGAGACUCCGAGUAGAUGUGUUUCGUUUCUCUGCAUAAUAGCUAGUUCUUGGGAAACUUUCAAAAUCCCGUAUUCUGAAACCAGGGUUACGCGUAGAAGGCAAAGUUUGUAGAGUUCUUCCAGACAACCAACAAAAGUAGCUCCCAUAUUUACUGAACAAGGUGGCUCAACGUACGUGGCUAAUCUACUAAAUCGCAAUUAACCUUACAAGAUGCAAACGAAAAGUCAUCUUUCUCCUUUCUGCCGUGACGCGACGUCAGUGAAAACGGUGUCGUCUCCCAACUUUCUCCAGUCAUGUUUCGAAAUGCAAUGGUAACACAUAAAUAAGCCAAAGCAAAAAAAGAUGAAGAAGUGCAUCGCGGCUUUGUUCUUUAUCGGUUGCACUGGCUCACGUGUUUUGCAGUAUUCUGUUUGCUUGUGCUGUUUGGACUCUUCUCUGCAUCCACACACUUUCACUUUUAUAGAAGAAAAACAAAACGUGCAUUCACAAAUAAAAACCAGUGCGUCGAAGAAAAGACGACAUACAGUCAAUAUCAUUAAAAGAGUGCCUCGUAAAGUUGAAGCUUAAGAAAUUAUGGAAUCUUCUUACACGUGUGGACUCUGUUGGCUACGUGUCACUUGUCGGACAGGAGAGGUAAACUUGGCUGACACAAUAAAUCAAGUGGCAAUGUACGAAACGCUAUUUUCUUUACUGGACACUGCACCAGACCAGACUGCACCUGUGCUGUUUUGGUGUUUUGGUGGACGUCAAAAUGGUGACUGUCAACUGUUUUUAGGCGCUAUCUUUUUCGUAACUGAUAGUUGAAUUGAUUUGAACAACAAAUUGUUAAGAAAAAGGUGGUUCCCUAACUCCCUAUUAUUUUCCCUAACGCACUUAGCCUUACUUGUGCAGCCUUUAUGCCGUAGAGAUUUAUACUGUUUAUUCCCAAAUGCUCACCGUAUGGCAGAUGGUCCACAAUUUAAUGUGGCA